GGGUCAGUAGGUUGGUCGUGCCACCGGUACGUACUGGUCUCACUGAUUCCUCCUUCCUGAAGAACCGUAAUGCCAUGAAUUUGGUGCUGCGGGGAAACAGGACUGUUACUUUGAAAAAAUUAGAGUGAUUAAAGCAAGCUAACGCUUGAAUACAUUAGCAUGGAAUAAUGAAAUAGGACGAUCGAUCCUAUUUUGUUGGUUUCUAGGAUUGACGUA
rnacentral:rRNA from 1 species